rnacentral:rRNA from 1 species
UACGGAGGGAGCUAGCGUUGUUCGGAAUUACUGGGCGUAAAGCGCACGUAGGCGGCUUUGUAAGUUAGAGGUGAAAGCCCGGGGCUCAACCCCGGAAUUGCCUUUAAGACUGCAUCGCUUGAAUCCAGGAGAGGUGAGUGGAAUUCCGAGUGUAGAGGUGAAAUUCGUAGAUAUUCGGAAGAACACCAGUGGCGAAGGCGGCUCACUGGACUGGUAUUGACGCUGAGGUGCGAAAGCGUGGGGGAGCAAACAGG